AUGGCCGCCCCUAGGAGGGUUGUUCUGGUCAAGGCGGUUCUCACUACCAUCCCUAUCUACAGCAUUACUUCGCUGGUCCUACCGGCUAAGGUGAUGAAGCGUAUUGAUGCCUUGUGACGGGCAUUUCUCUGGGCAGGUUGCGACAAAGUCACUGGGGGUAAGUGUAAAAUCAAUUGGGAGCAAGUCUGCAGCCCCAAAGCUAUGGGCUGCCUGAGCAUUCUAAAUCUGGAUAAAUUUGCCGCCGCUCUCCGCUUGCGGUGGCUUUGGAAUGAGUGGGCGGAGCCGCCAAAGCCGUGGUUUGGACUGGGCACUCCCUGCACCGAGUCCGAUAGGGACCAUUUCACGGCAGCUACGAAGGUCGUGGUUGAAAAUGGGGCCAAGGCUUGCUUCUGGACGUCUCCCUGGCUUGAUGGCCUAAGGCCGAUGGACAUCGCCCCUAAAAUCUUUGAGAUCUCAAAAGAGAAAGGUACUCUGUGA
rnacentral:rRNA from 1 species